rnacentral:lncRNA from 1 species
CGAAGGGCAACAUUUACCAGCGGGCCAAUUGUCAGUGACAUAGAUCUUCUGUAUAUAGUGUUGUGGUCGACCCCACCCCCCAGAAAAAAAAAACAUAAAAACUGAAAAUGCACACACACUACAUCCCCACAAACUUAAGGGCAAAUAAUUAAGACCAACCCAAACUAGAUACAAAUCCAUUUCAUGGUUGAUGCAAAUAUUGCAAAUCCAACUCAAAAUCAAUUUCCUUAAGGAAAGAAUUAUCAGCCCAGAAGCAAAAUGAUUCAGACCAAGAAUUUGCAGACAAGAGCUUACUACAUAACGACUGCAUACAUAUCUAUUGAAUUGCUAGCUACGAAAUUAAUUAAGCUGAAGUCUCACUUAAUUAAGGCGACGUGGUAUGGUUGGCAGUGGCAGCAUAUCUGUUAAUAUUCCCAUUAAAGCCAUUUGAACAGGUAGCUCGUUCGUCAAGGCAGCACUCACUCACAUGUUUGCACAUCACUCAUUCUGAGCUCAAAACUUUUCCGUCCAGCAGAAUCCAUUUUCAGCUCAUCCACCCAGUCGCUCAACUGUCCGACGCCAAUCACGCAUGGCUGCUGCGACUCUGGGACUCAAUCCACGUGCUCUUGGACAGUUUUUUCAUCAGGGCUAUAGUAGACUGAGUGGUUUUAGUGAAACAGACGGGCUGUGAUGGCUAAAAGCCUGCGGCUAGAUUGGAUUUUGGUUGCGUAAAUUAUAAGCAAGCUGAAGCGCAAGUCGGGGUAUGUAAUUGCACCACAUGCAAUUUUGAUUGGGCAUUGGCUUACCAGCUGAGCAAUACGAGUUGACGUAAGCUGCAACUUGAACAAGUAUGAUCAAAGUUGCUAGGCCAUUGAAAAUGUAUGAAUUUGUUAUGGUUGGCAGUGGCAUCUCUCUCCCUUGCUUUAACUUAAUUAAGCUCUCUCUUUGUUUGUUUUUUUUUUUUUUAAUAAUGACGUGACAAACUGAUUAAGGUCUCAAUUUAUGGAAAUUCAGAUAAAGUUUGGGUUCAUCAACAAAAGCAGUACAUUUAAAAUAUCUUCACAAAUAAAAAUUUAGUAAUAACAUUUAAUAAAAAUUUUAAUAGUUUUUUUUAUAUGAAAUGUGGAUUAAGACAUAAGCUCGUAAAUGGGCUGAAAGACAAGAGUCCAAAAGAAAUAAUUAAAAAAAUUUACAUCCAAGAGUAAUCAAAUUUAAAAGUCAGACUCCUAAUAUCAUGUAAAAAAAUCCACUUAAAAGUUUAAAUUCAUAAGGGAAGACAAGUAUAAAGACUCUACUCUCUAACAAAGUUCAGCCUUAGAAAAUUUAUGGGAAUGGCUACCUUUGCUUUUCAUAGACACCUAAAUUAUUGGAGCCAAAGAGCCACUCCAUGUCCGGGAAGUGGUUUUUAUGGAGUAUAAAGUUAAAGAAAAGCCUAUAGCCAAUAACAUGGGCGCAGAAAAUGGCACAUAUCAUCAAAGUGGGAUACUGGAUUGGAUCAAAGGGCAUCUUAAGAAAAGAACCUAUAGUGAACUGUCUAAUAAUUUCUGCGGACUUAUUACUUCAAAUGAAGGGAGGUAGGGCUGCAGUUUGCUCAACAAAGACUGCUGUUAACGUAGGCCUCGAGUUUUCCACGACUAGCACUCUUUGGCUUCCAUUGUGAUUGUGAUAUGCGGGGUCUCAGGAACGUGUUUUGAGUUCAUUUCUGUAAAUAAAUAAUUCCGAAUACUUCUUAGUUACGCUGAUUUUGAACCUAAUAGCUAUUAAAUAAAAAUGAAAUAUUUGGGGCGUCAAAUGCAUGAUUAAUGUCACUACCAAGCACUUUAGAAUGUAAUACUUAAAAAUAAUAAUAAUAAUAUAAAGGCCGAAGGGCAACAUUUACCAGCGGGCCAAUUGUCAGUGACAUAGAUCUUCUGUAUAUAGUGUUGUGGUCGACCCCACCCCCCAGAAAAAAAAAACAUAAAAACUGAAAAUGCACACACACUACAUCCCCACAAACUUAAGGGCAAAUAAUUAAGACCAACCCAAACUAGAUACAAAUCCAUUUCAUGGUUGAUGCAAAUAUUGCAAAUCCAACUCAAAAUCAAUUUCCUUAAGGAAAGAAUUAUCAGCCCAGAAGCAAAAUGAUUCAGACCAAGAAUUUGCAGACAAGAGCUUACUACAUAACGACUGCAUACAUAUCUAUUGAAUUGCUAGCUACGAAAUUAAUUAAGCUGAAGUCUCACUUAAUUAAGGCGACGUGGUAUGGUUGGCAGUGGCAGCAUAUCUGUUAAUAUUCCCAUUAAAGCCAUUUGAACAGGUAGCUCGUUCGUCAAGGCAGCACUCACUCACAUGUUUGCACAUCACUCAUUCUGAGCUCAAAACUUUUCCGUCCAGCAGAAUCCAUUUUCAGCUCAUCCACCCAGUCGCUCAACUGUCCGACGCCAAUCACGCAUGGCUGCUGCGACUCUGGGACUCAAUCCACGUGCUCUUGGACAGUUUUUUCAUCAGGGCUAUAGUAGACUGAGUGGUUUUAGUGAAACAGACGGGCUGUGAUGGCUAAAAGCCUGCGGCUAGAUUGGAUUUUGGUUGCGUAAAUUAUAAGCAAGCUGAAGCGCAAGUCGGGGUAUGUAAUUGCACCACAUGCAAUUUUGAUUGGGCAUUGGCUUACCAGCUGAGCAAUACGAGUUGACGUAAGCUGCAACUUGAACAAGUAUGAUCAAAGUUGCUAGGCCAUUGAAAAUGUAUGAAUUUGUUAUGGUUGGCAGUGGCAUCUCUC